UGCAUGAGGGCAAAUAAUCUUGAUGAUGGUCUGGCUUUCCUCGUUGCUAUGAUAUCAGAUUUCACUCUGGAAGGGGAAAACUAAGUAUAUUGAUACAUCAAUUCUGGGGCAAGGAGGAAUCGUGUACUUGGAGGCGUAGAGGAGGGAGAGAAGGAAAUAAGAAAUAGAUUCACGACCAUAGCUUUGCAGGAAAACUAAGUAUAUAUUGUGCUCGAUUUAUUUGACAAGAUACAAUAGCUAAUGCUCAUUGUUCAAUGGCAAUGUAUUGUAAUUUUAGGAACCUAAACUGCAUGCUCUCUCGGAUAGAUGGUACUGGCGUUAGAAAGCACAAA